UGCCCCGUACUGAAUCUGGCUUGCCACUCCUUCCUUGCCAAGUGGACAGCACGGGGAGUACUGGUGUUCCUUCACGGUGUCUGUACUGUUACCUUAGCGGAUCGGGAGGUGUUGGGGGGAUGAGGCGUGGCACAUAGUGAAACAUAUAGGGCUAGCUAGUCGGCAAGAUUUAAAGCCUCGUUCCUGCCACUACCAGCCUCCUUGAAACUGUUAGGUCUGGCUAGACUAUACCACUACUACCAAUCCAGCGCCGCCAGCAGUCCUCCACGCUAUAUGAUUCAGGAAAACUCCACCAAAGAGCGUGGAUCGAGGAGUGGUGAAUGACUGGCGUGCUUCAGUGAUUGUCAGAUUCCUGGAACAAGGCUCUUAGAAAUGUUCCCAGCAAGCCACAAUAAUCAAGCACAGCCAUGCAGCCCUUACCUCAGCCCCGCCCUGCCCCGCCCCGCCCGCAUCAUGACACACUCAAACUGUCUGUCUGGCUGGGAGUGGUGGACGGACGCUAAGGACUUACCUCGUUGGAGUGGGUGCGGUUCUGGUGUUUGGCGCGGUCGGAGGCGUUGGAGAAAGCCUUGGUGCAGCCCGGGAACUCACACAUAUAAGGCUUCUCCCCCGUGUGUGAGCG